CAUCCAUCUGCCACGGGUGCGGCCCUAAAAAGACAAAAAGCACAUUCCUGGACCUCAGUCCUUUCCUACUGAAUCGACCUCUGGAAGGUAGAACCUAGAAAUCUGAAGUUUUUAAAAGUGUGCCAGCAAGCCUCCUCUCUCAGAUUGGCCGUGAGCUUGACGUGCAGGCUGCAGCAGGAGUCCUGAGCCAGCUCUUUGAGAGCUUACUGUGUACAAGGGCCAGGGUGACAGAGGAUACAUCAGGAACACAAAGUCGGCAGCUGUACCCUCACUAGCACACCAGCCAUGACAGAAAUCAGAAAGCAGCAGCAGCAGCCGGGCUGUGUCAACCAUGCAGGUGGACAGGUCGCAUCUGGAGAGACUGAUUCAGCAAGUCUGAGGCCCAUGGGAAUCUGCAUUGGCCGCCCCGCCACCAACAUGCAUGUCCCACCCCCUCCUGGUGGGGCUGGCAUCUGAGCCACGUCCUUCAGACAAACCAACACUAGCUGACCCGCAGUGACCUGCACCUGUCCUCUGCCCUUCCCCUGCUUCAUUGUCCAGCUCUCUCCUCUUCUGCCAUCAAACCUGGGCCCAAUGGGAGUUCCUGCUGCGGCACAGUGGCACAACUCAGGUUGCUACAGAGGCACUGGUUUGAUCCCUGCCCGGCGCAGUGGGUUAAAGGAUACGGCGUUGCUGCAGCUGAGGUAUAGGGUGCAAUUGGUGGCUUGGAUUCAGUCCCUGGCCGGGAAACUUCCAUAUGCCCUGGGUGCCGCCAUAAAAAACAAAACAAAACAAAAAACCCUGGCUCAAUGGCACACAUCCCCACCCCUCCCCGGCUUCACUGUGACCUAUGCAACUACAACUUGAUAAGCUUCCAGCAGACACACUGCAACCUCUCAUUUGCUCAGCUGCCCCCAUAGGUCAGGGCCCCCUCACUAGAGGAUAAGCUCCCUGCCACCUACCUGGGACCCAGUGACAUUUCUAGAAUGGCAUGUGAGGCCAGAGCAAUGAGAGGGUGCCUGUGAGACCCACACGCCCACAGCCAAGUC